rnacentral:rRNA from 1 species
AUUGAACGCUAGCGGGAUGCCUUACACAUGCAAGUCGAACGGCGUGGCGAACGGGUGAGUAAUGUAUCGGAACGUGCCCAGUAGCGGGGGAUAACUACGCGAAAGCGUAGCUAAUACCGCAUACUAUUGGAGCGGCCGAUGUCGGAUUGGCUAGUGGGUGGGGUAUCGGCUCACCAAGGCGACGAUCCGUCGCGGGUGUGAGGGGACGACCAGCCACACUGGGACUGGGACACGGCCCAGACUCCUACGGGAGGCAGCAGUGGGGAAUUUUGGACAAUGGGGGAAACCCUGAUCCAGCCAUCCCGCGGGUGCGAUGAAGGCCUUCGGGUUGUAAAGCACGUUUGGCAGGAAAGCGGUACCUGCAGAAUAAGCACCGGCUAACUACGUGCCAGCAGCCGCGGUAAUAC